GCAGACUCGACCACAGAAUUAGAUGUGCUGAAGGGGAAACGCAUGUGCAGGGUUCAGGGCAAGGAGCAGGAGCUGGCUGGAGUCUGAACCUUCAAAAGGAGAGAGAGAAGGGAGGGCGCUUGCACAGGAAGGCUCACUGCAGUGUGGAGUGGUUCUAACGACGUUUUAGCCGGGCUGUUUGCUUUCAGAGCAGCCACAGGAGCUGCAUCCUGCACAAGGGUGCUAAGACCCACCCGCUCAGCCACUGGCUCCUCCCGCCCCUUGACCCUUGGCAUUGCUUGCAUGGACUUUGCAGGAGGAGCCUCUGUAGGAGCCCUGGACAACUUCUUUUUCCUUUUCAGAAAGCCAGAAAACGAAUGAAGCCCAAACUCUCGCUCUUGUGCUGUCCAGAACCCCCAAGCCCAGCUUUACCUUGGCACCCCACCCUCAUCCUCUCUGCCCCCUACCCUGGCCCUUCACCCUAAUCAGGGGCACGGGAUCUGCUGCCACUGGAGUCCUGAUGCCUCCUCCUCUUGCAUUUGUCCCAGCCUGCCACUUGCCCAGGGUGUCUUCUCUUUCCCUUUAGUCCAAAUGAAAUCUGUUUGUUUUCGGGCCCAAGCCCACUCCCACUUCUUUAGUGUGAUUCAGCCCCCACCCAUGUCCCCAGUCCUGGGAUUUCUGCUUUAGACAGGGCAGUGCCACAACUUAGCACCUCAUUGUUCUCCAGCAGUUUCAGCUAUUGUGAUUCUGUUUCUUAAAUUAGAUUACAAAUUCCUUGAGGGUCAGGACAAUGACAAUGGCUCCCCUCCAUCCUUCUUUCCUUCUCUUCCUCCUUCCCUUCCUUCUGUUUAUCAAGUAGAAAUUGAUGUUUUCCAACUGGAUUGGCCACCUCCAAAGUCCUAACAGGGGUCCCCAGGUUGGCAGAGUUGCUUGUUUGGUGUUUUUGAUCUCCAAUUGGCCUGAGCUGGUUCUUUUCCUUCCUUCCUGGAUUCCUGUGACUUCCAGGGCCCCUUUUCCGGCCUCCCCAGAUUAACUCCUAUUCUUAGUGCCUUGUUUCUUAUGGAGGAACGAGUGACUCAGAAUAGCUCCAUAGGUGACUUCUCCCCAGGGAAAUUUUGACCAAGCCCCAAAGAGUAGACAUGAUCAAAUUCUAAAGACUGGGUCUUUAAAGCUUCCCCCUUGAGUUGCAAGGAGACCUCUCUGGGCCAUGGCCAGCCACUAGAGAUGCCCGUGCAGUGAGUUUGGUCCUUGAGGUCACAGAAUUAGAUCAAAUUCUAAUGAAUUUAAUGUGUGAAUUUUACACCUGAGCUAGAUACUGUACUGUACAAUUUAGUAGGCACUCACCAUCUAUGGCUUUUUAAAGUUAAAUAAAAUAAAUGGAGUCUUUCAGGACUACAUUUACGGGAGCCACAUUUUAAAUGCUCAAUAGCUGCCAGAAACGAAUUUUUUAAAAAGCAGGUGUGGGCUGGGCCUGGUGGCUCACGCCUGCAAUCCUAGCACUUUGGGAGGCCGAGACAGGUGGCUUGCCCAAGAUCAGGAGUUCAAGACCAGCCUGGCCAACAUGGUGAAACUCUGUCUCUACUUAAAAAAAAAAAAAAAAAAAAA
ensembl:lncRNA